AGGAUGAACGCUGGCGGCGUGCUUAACACAUGCAAGUCGAGCGAAGCGCCUUAACGGAAUUCUUCGGAAGGAAGAUAAGGGGACUGAGCGGCGGACGGGUGAGUAACGCGUGGGUAACCUGCCUUAUACAGGGGGAUAACAGCUGGAAACGGCUGCUAAUACCGCAUAAGCGCACGGCACCGCAUGGUGCAGUGUGAAAAACUGAGGUGGUAUAAGAUGGACCCGCGUCUGAUUAGGUAGUUGGUGGGGUAACGGCCUACCAAGCCGACGAUCAGUAGCCGACCUGAGAGGGCGACCGGCCACAUUGGGACUGAGACACGGCCCAAACUCCUACGGGAGGCAGCAGUGGGGAAUAUUGCACAAUGGGGGAAACCCUGAUGCAGCGACGCCGCGUGAGCGAAGAAGUAUUUCGGUAUGUAAAGCUCUAUCAGCAGGGAAGAAAAUGACGGUACCUGACUAAGAAGCCCCGGCUAACUACGUGCCAGCAGCCGCGGUAAUACGUAGGGGCAAGCGUUAUCCGGAUUUACUUAGGGG
rnacentral:rRNA from 1 species